rnacentral:rRNA from 1 species
GGAUUAGAAACCCCGGUAGUCCACGCCGUAAACGAUGGAUACUAGCUGUUGGGUUGCAAGACUCAGUGGCUAAGCGAAAGUGAUAAGUAUCCCACCUGGGGAGUACGAACGCAAGUUUGAAACUCAAAGGAAUUGACGGGGGCCCGCACAAGCGGUGGAGCAUGUGGUUUAAUUCGAUGAUACGCGAGGAACCUUACCAAGGCUUAAAUGUAGAUUGACCGGUUUGGAAACAGACUUUUUCGCAAGACAAUUUACAAGGUGCUGCAUGGUUGUCGUCAGCUCGUGCCGUGAGGUGUCAGGUUAAGUCCUAUAACGAGCGCAACCCCUGUUGUUAGUUGCCAGCGAGUCAUGUCGGGAACUCUAACAAGACUGCCAGUGCAAACUGUGAGGA